AUCAUGGUGGAAAAGAUUUUGGGAUGCAUCAUUUGCAGUUCCUUAUCAGCCAAAGGAACACCUGCUCCAUACGUCCUCAUACUUAAAAAACAGAGCUCUGGAAUCUCUUUGUCUUAGGUUAGCAAGCUAAAACUGUGAUACUGUAUUAACUUCAAAUACCUCUGGGUUUUAGCACUUGCAUUAUAAAUGUCAGAAUCAUCAAAUUCUGCUCUUAUAAACAGAUUCCUGAGCUCCCUCUUUCAGUGUGUGAGGGAGAUCCAACUAUUGAGAAGACAGAUUAUUUUGGGAGCUUGUAAAAUGAUUUACACCAAGAGGUUCUGGAAAGGUUUUGCUACGUGAGCCAACAGAAAACACACUUGUUGCUUUGGUGUGCAGGGCAGAAUUAUUUUGAGCAUCUCUGGUCACCAUUGGAGCAAAAGGAUUUUUUGAAAAAGGAAUGGAUUUGCAUGCGCUUUGAGCAUUUCCUACCAGGAUCUGGAAAUAAAUGUUGUGUAAAUAUUGUGACCCCACACCUCUGAUGUCCGUGAACACCUGCUCACUGAUGGCAGAGGAUGGCAAGGGCUAACAUGCAUGCAGGAAGGGCAGGACAGCAGCAACGUAGGGUACUUUGAGGACCAACACGGAUGAGCAUCUUGCAGGGCUAAAUAUCAUAUUCCAGUUUCCCAUCCCAAAACACCUAUAAACAAAGCAGCUGAUGGCACAACGAUUAUGUCAGGGACCAGUUAUUAGCAAAAUGGGCAGAAUAACUAUCAGUGGGGAGAGUAUUGCAGACCAUAGGAGAAGAGAAACACACUGCACAUCUGCCCUGUGCUAUUCCCAGCAUGAGCCCUCAAAGUUUCAGCCUGGGAAGGUUCACCAGAAAGUGGUGAUUACCCUGCAGCUCUCCGCUGCCCCUGUGAUGUCCUUAUCCCUGCCUUGCUGCAUUCCAGCCCCACCUCACCCUCUCCACAAUAAGCGAAUGGGUCCUUUCUUUAUUCAGUACUACUUUUUACAUAUUUGAGAACAGCACUGUUUGUUUCCUCCCUUUUUUCCCUUCAGCCCCUCCACUGUUUUCAAGUCAAAAAAAGCACAGCUGUUCAAUAUUUAUUUCACAAAACAUUUUACUUCUGAUCGUCACUACCUUUCUCUGCCAGAGCCUCUCCAGGUGAGCCACACCUUUCCUCAGUCUCUGCACUGGAGAGAGGAUAUCCUUAGCAGCGCUGAGCAGAGCGAGGGCCCACACUGCAAGUUUUUAGGCAGUUCUGGUGUUUGCGCAUCUCAGUAAGCCUUUCUUUCCUGUAGUUGUUUGACUUUUCUACAACUUUGUUUAUACUACCAGCUGAGUUAUGUCAAAUAAAAUGGUGAAAAG
ensembl:lncRNA